CCCUGCCCUUUGUACACACCGCCCGUCGCUACUACCGAUUGAAUGGCUUAGUGAGGUCUCCGGAUUGGCGGUGGGGAGCCGGCAACGGCACCCUAUUGCUGAGAAGCUGAUCAAACUUGGUCAUUUAG
rnacentral:rRNA from 1 species